CCCCUAGAGGAGCCUGUUCUAUAAUCGAUAAUCCACGAUCUACCUCACCAUCUCUUGCCAAUACCGCCUAUAUACCGCCGUCACCAGCCUACCCUAUGAAGGAUAUAAAAGUAGGCAAAAUCGCACAACAGCUAACAAGUCAGGUCAAGGUGUAGCUUACUGAGAUGGAAGAAAUGGGCUACAUUUUCUAAACUAGAAAUCAUUUCACGGAAAGAACUAUGAAACAAGUUCUAUAAGCAGGAUUUAUCAGUAAAUAGGGAUCAGAAUGCCCAAUUUAAGCCGGUCCUAAGGUACGC
rnacentral:rRNA from 1 species